rnacentral:tRNA from 1 species
GCCGCCGUAGCUCAGUUGGUUAGAGCGCUUGACUGUGGAUCAAGAGGUCGGCGAUUCGAAUUCGCCCGGCGGUACCA